rnacentral:rRNA from 1 species
GCUCAGGACGAACGCUGGCGGCGUGCUUAACACAUGCAAGUCGAACGAUGAACCUCCUUCGGGAGGGGAUUAGUGGCGAACGGGUGAGUAACACGUGGGCAAUCUGCCCUGCACUCUGGGACAAGCCCUGGAAACGGGGUCUAAUACCGGAUACUGACCCGCUUGGGCAUCCAAGCGGUUCGAAAGCUCCGGCGGUGCAGGAUGAGCCCGCGGCCUAUCAGCUUGUUGGUGAGGUAAUGGCUCACCAAGGCGACGACGGGUAGCCGGCCUGAGAGGGCGACCGGCCACACUGGGACUGAGACACGGCCCAGACUCCUACGGGAGGCAGCAGUGGGGAAUAUUGCACAAUGGGCGAAAGCCUGAUGCAGCGACGCCGCGUGAGGGAUGACGGCCUUCGGGUUGUAAACCUCUUUCAGCAGGGAAGAAGCGAAAGUGACGGUACCUGCAGAAGAAGCGCCGGCUAACUACGUGCCAGCAGCCGCGGUAAUACGUAGGGCGCGAGCGUUGUCCGGAAUUAUUGGGCGUAAAGAGCUCGUAGGCGGCUUGUCACGUCGGUUGUGAAAGCCCGGGGCUUAACCCCGGGUCUGCAGUCGAUACGGGCAGGCUAGAGUUCGGUAGGGGAGAUCGGAAUUCCUGGUGUAGCGGUGAAAUGCGCAGAUAUCAGGAGGAACACCGGUGGCGAAGGCGGAUCUCUGGGCCGAUACUGACGCUGAGGAGCGAAAGCGUGGGGAGCGAACAGGAUUAGAUACCCUGGUAGUCCACGCCGUAAACGGUGGGCACUAGGUGUGGGCGACAUUCCACGUCGUCCGUGCCGCAGCUAACGCAUUAAGUGCCCCGCCUGGGAGAC